rnacentral:rRNA from 1 species
UACGAAGGGAGCUAGCGUUGUUCGGAAUCACUGGGCGUAAAGCGCACGUAGGCGGAUGUGUCAGUCAGGGGUGAAAUCCCGGAGCUCAACUUCGGAACUGCCUUUGAUACAGCACGUCUUGAGUCCGAUAGAGGUGGGUGGAAUUCCUAGUGUAGAGGUGAAAUUCGUAGAUAUUUAGGAAGAACACCGGUGGCGAAGGCGGCCCACUGGAUCGGUACUGACGCUGAGGUGCGAAAGCGUGGGGAGCAACAGG